rnacentral:rRNA from 1 species
GACGAACGCUGGCGGCGUGCUUAACACAUGCAAGUCGAACGGAAAGGCGCUGCUUUUGUGGGGUUCUCGAGUGGCGAACGGGUGAGUAACACGUGAGUAACCUGCCCUUGUCUUUGUGAUAACUUCAGGAAACUGGGGCUAAUACCGGAUAGGAGCUCCUGCUGCAUGGUGUGGGUUGGAAAGUUUCGGCGGUUGGGGAUCGACUCGCGGCUUAUCAGCUUGUUGGUGGGGUAGUGGCUUACCAAGGCUUUGACGGGUAGCCGGCCUGAGAGGGUGACCGGCCACAUUGGGCCUGAGAGACGGACCAGACUCCUACGGGAGGCAGCAGUGGGGAGUAUUGCACAAUGGGCGGAAGCCUGAUGCAGCAACGCCGCGUGCGGGAUGACGGCCUUCGGGUUAUAAACCGCUUUCGCCUGUGACGAAGCGUGAGUGACGGUAAUGGGUAAGGAAGCACCGGCUAACUACGUG